AGCAGCCGCGGUAAUUCCAGCUCCAAUAGCGUAUAUUAAAGUUGCUGCAGUUAAAAAGUUCGUAGUUGAAUUUCGGGAUCAAUAUGUUGGUCGUGCCUCGGUACGUACUAGCUUAUUGGUUUCUUCCUUCUGACGAACCAUAAUGUCAUUUAUUUGGUGUUAUGGGGAAUCAGGACUGUUACUUUGAAAAAUUAGAGUGUUUAAAGCAGGCUCACGCUUGAAUACAUUAGCAUGGAAUAAUGAAAUAGGACGUUUGAUUCUAUUUUGUUGGUUUCUAGGAUCGACGUAAUGAUUAAUAGGGAUAGUUGGGGGCAUUAGUAUUCAAUUGUCAGAGGUGAAAUUCUUGGAUUUAUUGAAGACUAACUACUGCGAAAGCAUUUGCCAAGGAUGUUUUCAUUAAUCAAGAACGAAAGUUAGGGGAUCGAAGACGAUCAGAUACCGUCGUAGUCUUAACCAUAAACUAUGCCGACUAGGGAUCGGAUGAUGUUAAUUUUUAAUGACUCAUUCGGCGCCUUACGGG
rnacentral:rRNA from 1 species